GAAUCUUCCGCAAUGGACGAAAGUCUGACGGAGCAACGCCGCGUGAGUGAUGAAGGUCUUCGGAUCGUAAAACUCUGUUGUUAGGGAAGAACAAGUAUAAGGCGAAUAACCUUAUACCUUGACGGUACCUAACCAGAAAGCCCCGGCUAACUACGUGCCAGCAGCCGCGGUAAUACGUAGGGGGCGAGCGUUGUCCGGAAUUAUUGGGCGUAAAGGGUGCGUAGGCGGUCUUCUAAGUCUGAUGUGAAAGCCCCCGGCUUAACCGGGGAGGGUCAUUGGAAACUGGAAGACUUGAGUGCAGAAGAGGAGAGCGGAAUUCCACGUGUAGCGGUGAAAUGCGUAGAGAUGUGGAGGAACACCAGUGGCGAAGGCGGCUCUCUGGUCUGUAACUGACGCUGAGGCACGAAAGCGUGGGGAGCAAAC
rnacentral:rRNA from 1 species